GACGAACGCUGGCGGCGUGCUUAACACAUGCAAGUCGAGCGGUAAGGCCCUUUCGGGGGUACACGAGCGGCGAACGGGUGAGUAACACGUGGGUGACCUGCCCUCAGCUCUGGGAUAAGCCUGGGAAACCGGGUCUAAUACCGGAUAUGACUCCAUGACGCAUGUUGUGGGGUGGAAAGCCUUGUGCGGCUGAGGAUGGGCCCGCGGCCUAUCAGCUUGUUGGUGGGGUGAUGGCCUACCAAGCCGACGACGGGUAGCCGGCCUGAGAGGGCGACCGGCCACACUGGGACUGAGACACGGCCCAGACUCCUACGGGAGGCAGCAGUGGGGAAUCUUGCGCAAUGGGCGAAGGCCUGACGCAGCGACGCCGCGUGAGGGAUGACGGCCUGGUGUAAC
rnacentral:rRNA from 1 species